GUAAGAUCCUGUACUUCUUUUCCGGUUUUGGUCGUUGUUUACUUUUCAAGGAAGCAAUUUUCCUCCUGUUAAGUUUUUCAUUCGGGAAAGAAAUUCCGUUUGUUUCCCUGUCAAUGACACUAAGGUGAACAUUCGUAUUAUUUUUCUAUUUUUAACUGCCUAGUUUUCAAUCUAUACUACAAUGAUAAUUUCACUUGAUCGCUAAACGGAUAAAACAUGAUUCCUUUUUAAUUUUAUAAAUAUUCCAUUCAUUUCUCGUUUACUCCUGUUUGAUUCACGAAUAAAUGUUUUUGUUGUGCUUUCUGAAA